CGAACGCUGGCGGCAUGCCCUAACACAUGCAAGUCGAACGAGACCUUCGGGUCUAGUGGCGCACGGGUGCGUAACGCGUGGGAACCUGCCUUAGGUUCGGAAUAACAGUGAGAAAUUACUGCUAAUACCGGAUGAUGUCUUCGGACCAAAGAUUUAUCGCCUUUAGAUGGGCCCGCGUUGGAUUAGGUAGUUGGUGGGGUAAAGGCCUACCAAGCCGACGAUCCUUAGCUGGUCUGAGAGGAUGAUCAGCCACACUGGGACUGAGACACGGCCCAGACUCCUACGGGAGGCAGCAGUGGGGAAUAUUGGACAAUGGGCGAAAGCCUGAUCCAGCAAUGCCGCGUGAGUGAUGAAGGCCUUAGGGUUGUAAAGCUCUUCUACCCGGGAUGAUAAUGACAGUACCGGGAGAAUAAGCCCCGGCUAACUCCGUG
rnacentral:rRNA from 1 species